rnacentral:lncRNA from 1 species
CUCCCGCUUUCGUCCUUCGUCGUCGUUCUUUUCCAUUUUCUAGACAUUUCUUUAGCUUCAGUCGCGUCGAACUCCUUUAGGUUUUUUAUAGGGUUCCUCUCCCUUUGCCACAUAGUCGAAGUUCAGCCAUCCCUUCCUUUGUUUAGGUAUUUUUACACCUUCAAGCGCCACCCCUCGACAAAAGACUGGUGGUACUUCUCCUCCCAGUUCUGUAAGAAGGGGUUGCUGA